GCCCAGACUCCUACGGGAGGCAGCAGUGGGGAAUAUUGCACAAUGGGGGAAACCCUGAUGCAGCGACGCCGCGUGAGUGAAGAAGUCUUUCGGUAUGUAAAGCUCUAUCAGCAGGGAAGAAAAUGACGGUACCUGACUAAGAAGCCCCGGCUAACUACGUGCCAGCAGCCGCGGUAAUACGUAGGGGGCAAGCGUUAUCCGGAUUUACUGGGUGUAAAGGGAGCGUAGACGGCAUGGCAAGUCAGAUGUGAAAGCCCGGGGCUCAACCCCGGGACUGCAUUUGAAACUGUCAGGCUGGAGUGCAGGAGAGGUAAGUGGAAUUCCUAGUGUAGCGGUGAAAUGCGUAGAUAUUAGGAGGAACACCAGUGGCGAAGGCGGCUUACUGGACUGUAACUGACGUUGAGGCUCGAAAGCGUGGGGAGCAAACAGGAUUAGAUACCCGGGUAC
rnacentral:rRNA from 1 species